GGUAUAUAUUUAUAUAUAUACAUACAUACACACACACAUAUACUGCUGUGUGUAAGGGUGCUAUGUGUGUGUGUGUGGGCGCUUUGUGUGUGUAAGGGCACUGGGUGUGUGAGGGUGCUGUGUGUGUGUGUGUAAGGGCACUGAGUGUGUGUAAGGGUGCAGUAUGUGUGUGUAAGGGUGACGUAUAUGUGUGUAAGGGUG